AUAACCGCCAGAUGUCCAGGAACCGACAGAAACAGGACAAACAACCCCAUAUAAGGACAUAUGAGUGAGGGGUCAACUAUGGGACAAAGGAGGAAGACUUCUUACUUCGGCCUCAACGACCACCAAGAGGCAGAAAACGACCCCCUAACAACAACUGAAGCAUGCGCAGAGUACCGCCACUACUUCAUGAACACGGAAGUAAAGAUGUAUAAAAAGGGACUGUUUGAACUGCUCAGCACGGCAGUUGGCGGAGCGCAGACUCCCCUGCUGUCCAGUGCUGUCUUUGCUCAUAUUCUACUUGCUAUAAUUAAUAAAAUUUUAAUUGGAUUAUGAUCCACUGUGGUCUCAAUUUAUAACAAUUCCUAGUGCCGUGACUCGGAUAAGGAACGGUGGGCUUCUGUCCUCCGGGGAGGCGCCCCGCGGCAAUCCGCGGCCCCGCGACCGACAGCCUACCUCAACCUUACCGACGAACCUAAAUGCUAGAAUAAUGAGCAAAGGAGAAACCGGUAAAAUCCCAUAAAAUUCUGUGCACGGGAGUCCGGACGAAGACGCAGGACGCAAACAGCUGUCCGGACUGCUGAGCUUGGAUGGACUCAUGCCAGUCGCAUUAAAGGCCCAGUGACGAGACCCCACUGAAAAGUAAUCAGUACUCCAGGUGACACCAAGAUAACCCUGAAAAGAUAACGUGUAAGGUAUGCCAGGAUAAAUGGUGGACACACUGUGAAUGUGGAUACCCUCCGAUAGGAGUUCGCACACAGUGUUGGAAAAUCCAAAGAACUCUCACUGAGUGGAAACUAAAACAAUUAGAGUCUAAACAAGAAAUUAUUCAAGAAUCCCAUGAGUGGUGGGAAAUUUUUGCCAAAGGAAUAAACCCUCAAUAUUGUUACCAUUCCAACGAACCAGUCCCCUUUGUAGCUGAAAUCUUGGCUAUAAAGUGCAGAAGGGAAGUACUAACUGUGUCUUGCUUUGUCCCAUUAGUUAAAGCUGCAAAGUGGGAAGCCUAUAUAAACAGGCAGAAAGCCCGAAACAGCUGUUCUCCUGAAGAAUUCCCUUGCUGCCGAGAAGAUGGUACACCCCGUGGCUCGAAGCAACCGAGUUGAU